GUCGCCGGAGUGUAAAGUGGAGCGGCUGUAGGAGGGAUUCGGGAUCCAGGAUGAGCACCCCAGACACGGGGAGCAGUAGGAAUUCCAAUGGAAAAACGAGCAACGCGCGUGAGUGAUAGGUUUUCGGAUGUAAAGUGUUAGAAGAACAAGUGCGAGAGUAACUGCUGCACUUGACGGUACCUAACCAGAAAGCCACGGCUAACUACGUGCCAGCAGCCGCGGUAAUACGUAGGUGCAAGCGUUGUCCGGAAUUAUUGGGCGUAAAGGGCUCGCAGGCGGUUUCUUAAGUCUGAUGUGAAAGCCCCCGGCUCAACCGGGGAGGGUCAUUGGAAACUGGGAAACUUGAGUGCAGAAGAGGAGAGUGGAAUUCCACGUGUAGCGGUGAAAUGCGUAGAGAUGUGGAGGAACACCAGUGGCGAAGGCGACUCUCUGGUCUGUAACUGACGCUGAGGAGCGAAAGCGUGGGGAGCGAACAGGAUUAGAUACCCUGGUAGUCCACGCCGUAAACGAUGAGUGCUAAGUGUUAGGGGGUUUCCGCCCCUUAGUGCUGCAGCUAACGCAUUAAGCACUCCGCCUGGGGAGUACGGUCGCAAGACUGAAACUCAAAGGAAUUGACGGGGGCCCGCACAAGCGGUGGAGCAUGUGGUUUAAUUCGAAGCAACGCGAAGAACCUUACCAGGUCUUGACAUCCUCUGACAACCCUAGAGAUAGGGCUUUCCCUUCGGGGACAGAGUGACAGGUGGUGCAUGGUUGUCGUCAGCUCGUGUCGUGAGAUGUUGGGUUAAGUCCCGCAACGAGCGCAACCCUUGAUCUUAGUUGCCAGCAUUCAGUUGGGCACUCUAAGGUGACUGCCGGUGACAAACCGGAGGAAGGUGGGGAUGACGUCAAAUCAUCAUGCCCCUUAUGACCUGGGCUACACACGUGCUACAAUGGACAGAACAAAGGGCUGCAAGACCGCAAGGUUUAGCCAAUCCCAUAAAUCUGUUCUCAGUUCGGAUCGCAGUCUGCAACUCGACUGCGUGAAGCUGGAAUCGCUAGUAAUCGCGGAUCAGCAUGCCGCGGUGAAUACGUUCCCGGGCCUUGUACACACCGCCCGUCACACCACGAGAGUUUGCAACACCCGAAGUCGGUGAGGUAACCUUUAUGGAGCCAGCCGCCGAAGGUGGGGCAGAAUGGGAAGCGUAACAGCAG
rnacentral:rRNA from 1 species